AGCAGAAGCUGACAACACAGAAGUUGCAUUCAAGUCGUACAGACAUCUUUGGAUGGCAAACACAUGCACAGAAAUAGGGGAAUAUAAGCAAGUCCAUGCUUUCCAGAAAUUAUUUUUUUCCAAACAAGCAGACAACAAAAAAUGAAAAACAAAAAACAAAUACCACCACACCCAGAAACUUACCUGAAAUCACAUUUUCCCAUCUACCCUAAUAAAAGUAACAACAGCACAUGCAACAAGGAUAAAGGCAGGUGUAAGAAGUUACCCUGUGCUUACUUCGGGCAACAUCACUUUUAUUGUUUCCCACUGCACAAUCAGGAUCACUAAGCAAAUGAACUGACCAAGUGAUGCUAAACCUGGAAAGGUAACUUGAUUUGAAAGUGUACUGCUUAUGGAUAUACCACACAAUAAAAGCUGCUGCAGUUCCACAGAAGCUUCCUUCCAAGAAGGCCACAGUUUAAGCUUGAUAAUGACUUCAGCCUCGUAAUGAUCACUCCGGGCAGUCUGGACAGUCUUAUUUUCACAUCUCUACAGGAAGGAUAAUUAUAAUACAGUUGCGUGGCUAAAACUGGAAGCUGACCUACCUGCUAAGAAUGGCUUUGGACACAGGUCCUCCGAACCAGGACUGAAAGCGGCUCCAAGGCACGCUCGGAGGCAAACUUUCAAAGCACAGCGUUUCAAAUGCAGCACAAAGCCAACUUUUAAUCCUUCCUCUGUCCUCCCGAAAUCUUUUACGAAUUUCCAGUCCUAUCUCCUCGUUUGAAUACGUUUACUUUCCCCUACAUCUAGUUAGAACCGCACGAAGAACACUGGAUAAUCGCUAAAACUAGGAAAGAAUCCAGGCGAUUCAAGCGCGAGCGUCGCCAAGAGACGAAAAGGAAACGACAAGCCGAGAGCCGCCCCGGCUCCGCCAGUGGGCCCUUAGAAACAAAAUGAAACAGAGGAAGUUCCCACUGAAAAUCAAGCAGCACUUCUGUGUUGUGUAGAUGAUGGAGCACUGACACAGGUUGUCCAGGGAAGCUGUGGUGUCUCCUCCACAGAGAUCUUCAGAAGCUGCCUGGACAGUCCUUUGAGUGUCCCCGCACAGGCAAGGGUUUGAGCAGAUGGACACUGAAGACACCUCAGCCAUCCUAUGAAAAAACUCGUUUUCCAUCAUUACUUACAUUUUAUGUAUAGAUAUAUAUAUUGAAAUUAGACUGUCUUUCAUUCUAAGGUGGUGAUGGCUUUGAAAUACAAGGACUUAAGAAGUCUGUAGCAGAUUUUCAUGCGAUUUUGUUCCCUUCCAAAAUAUUACUACUCUGUUUUCUAUUUCAGCUGAGUCUCAUAAUCAAACGGCCACUACAGUCUCCAGGAUAAACAAAAAUUCUAAAGACUUAGCAUUUAUUUAACAUUUAUAGAAUUACUGCUACUACAGCUCCCAGCACAUUAAAGAUCUGGGCAAGGGUGACUGUCAUCACCUUCUGAGUCACAUUCUAGCCUGUUUUGACUGCACAGGUGUCAUCUUGAGCAUUUCUGCACUAAUGAUUCACAUAGUGACAGAGAAAAGGAAAAAGCAGAUGGGGCUGUGGCUAUCAAACUCUUGAGUCUACAAUAAGAUCUCCUUUAUUCCAUUAAUCCAGCAUUUCAAUCUGUGAAACUAAAUAACUGAUACAUUUUUAAGGACUUUGACAUCUAAUAAAAAAAAUGUAAAUUUGAGAUUGUCUGCUAACUUUAAAAGACUCAUAAAAACUAAAAUAGCAGAAAUAGCAGUUUUAUUCAUUGAAUCUGGUUUUAAUAACUAGUGCAACAAAAGACAGUUACAACCUCCCUUUUUUUUUUCCUGUAAAAAUUAAAAGAUAUUGCAGUCACAUGGUUUUCAGUUAAAAUCUUCUUUUUCUUUCCAUUUCCAAACACUCUGGCAGGAUUUUUUUUUUUUUUUUUUUUUUUCCCCAGUAUGUCUGGACAAUUAAAAGUUCUUAGCUAAUUUUAAAGAACUAAAAAUUCAUUUUUCAUCAUUUUUUGUGUAUUUUUCUGAUAGCUUUUAAGAGUAAGUCAAGUAGAAAUCUUUCUUGUACUGUGUAAGUCAUCAACUCAAAAGUUCCAGCAACACAUGUUGUGCACUGGUGAUUCAAUGGAAAUGACAAAUAAUUACAUCACAGACAAAAAUGUGUCCCUUUUCUCCAUCUGAAGAAGGGCUUUACUGCAGUUGCAGCUAACUCUCAAAUCAUUCAUUGAGUAGCAAUCCACUGACAGCUGUUUUUCUAUGUACAAAUAUUUGUGAAACACCCCCAAUUUUAUCAUUUCUUUCUAUGUCAAUAUAAACAGUUAAGGUACUUCAGGCUAGGCAUGGAAAAUAAUUACCCUGUGUAGAAAACAAUUAACCCACCUGUGAGAAGAAUGCUCAUUUCAGAUGACUGGCAGUGUGUCUAAGGUACACUAUACAAGAAUGGAAAGGAAAACCAAAUACGAUUAAGUUCUGAAAUCACAUGGGAAGCCUUUUCUGAUGAAUACUAGGAGACAAGAUGGAACGUUUCAAAUGCUAAGCCUUCAGGAAUCUACAGUUACUUCACUGCUUCAGAAGGAGAUUGUGAAAUACUGGUCAAUACAGUUUUAAUAAAUAUUUGACAAAGUA